UAGCUCAUAUGUUAGAGCGCUCGCUUUGCAUGCGAGAGGUACGGGGUUCGAUUCCCCA
rnacentral:tRNA from 1 species